rnacentral:lncRNA from 1 species
GAGGGGCGCCCGGCGCCGUGGGCAGCACGGUGUCCAUGCGUCGCCAUCUCCGCUUUGUUGGCCCCCGAAGGUUGGAAAGCGCUGAGGCCGAGGAGGAUAACGAGGUAGGGUGGCUUCCGAGCCGGCAGGAAGGGCACCCGCAAAACCCCAUCCUCCCCGACGCGCCCUGGCUCCCAACUUCAGCCCCAGGCGGCAGCGCGGCUCCUCAUGGCCCCGGCGGCCUCCUUCCCAUCACCCUUAGUAUAAAACCAGAACGGCUCCUCCCGUCCCACGGCUGAGCUGUCCUCCAGCUCGGGCUCCGCCCCGCGCCCCAGNNNNNNNNNNNNNNNNNNNNNNNNNNNNNNNNNNNNNNNNNNNNNNNNNNNNNNNUGCCCGCCUGCCCCCCAGCCUUGGCCACGCGGUCGCUGGGUCAAGCCCGAGCCCUGCAAGGACAUCACCAUGGCCUCUCCCCGGCUCGCCCCGGGCCUGCGGUCCGCUGACUGAGGCCCGUUUCCCACCCUUUCCAACGCUCCGUCUCCUGCCCGACACAGCUCCUGUCCAGGCCGGCUCUCCGCACCUGGGCGUGAGGUUCUGUAUUGGGGACCAGCCAAGCUAUGCAUGGAUUGGUGGGGGCCCGACUCCAGGCCCCCGCCGUCACGGUCACGGGGCCGACUUCAGCUGGCUUCAGGAAUAGGGAACUUUUCACAGAAGGCUGCAGGCUUCCCCGCUGGGGGGUACGAGAUCCCCUAACACUGGAGCUCCUGGGGCAAGGAAAAGCACGGGACCCCUCCCCUGGCUGCGCCUCUGCCCUGGAGAAGCCCAGCGGGGACACGCGGCGACCAAGCCCCGUCCACUGUGCGUUCGUCCUGCUUCAUUUCCUCCGAGGGCCUCGAGGGCCUCGGCUGGCCGGAGGUAGAAGCUUCUUCACGCUGUCUGCCGGAGACUCUGAGGCCUGCGCUAGGCAAGGCGCAGCUGAGCGGGAUUUCCGGUCCUGGGCCUGGUGCUGGCAGGAUCACGAGUGCUCAUCACAGGCGCGGCCCCGGGUUCCUCCUGCGCCUGGAGAACAGACUGGCGUUUCCAUGGAGACGGGGGAACGAGUUCGAACCAAUUUAUCACCAACUUUGGACUCCAAAAAAAAGAAAUCUACUCGUUCUCAUUUGCCAAGCCUCAAGUCAAAUACGAGUUUUUUUUUUUUUU